UACGAAGGGGGCAAGCGUUGCUCGGAAUCACUGGGCGUAAAGGGUGCGUAGGCGGGUCUUUAAGUCAGGGGUGAAAUCCUGGAGCUCAACUCCAGAACUGCCUUUGAUACUGAAGAUCUUGAGUUCGGGAGAGGUGAGUGGAACUGCGAAGUGUAGAGGUGAAAUUCGUGAGAUAUUCGCAAGAACACCAGUGGCGAACGGCGGCUCACUG
rnacentral:rRNA from 1 species